GCACGGCCUUUCCUACAGGAGACCGGCCAGAGCUUCAGCAGCAGUGCAGCACUGAAUUCCAUUGCAGAGCCGGACGAUGCCUUACCAGGGAUCGCCGUGUUGGAGCUCCGGAGUGUUGGACCUGCUGAUUAACACCAUGGAGCUGUGGUAUGCGGAGCUUCAAGCCAUGGGCGACGCUGAUUUUAACAUCGCAGAGUCCUGGGAUCUUUUGCCUAGGGUCGCCAGCAUUGAAUCUCCGCCCAUGUCGGUCUGUGGACUUUGGGAGCUGCGGUCUCCGGUAAGAAGUGGCCGAUUCGCAAACUCCACGCCGCUGAGAGCGUUCUUCCAUUCCGAUGCCAGAGCUCCGAUCAUCCCGGCGAGAGGGCCUGAAUAUCGGGCCGCAGGAGCGGUGACUGCGGAGGCCUCAAAGGCCCCGGCCACGGGUGAACAAGAGGACGGUGACUGAACUUUAUUGCCUUCUCUCACAGUAGGAAACGUUGAUUCCGCUGGGUGGAAUGUUCAUGUUAAAUUCUAUCGUGUAUUGUGUUAUUUUUAUUCAUAUGGCUGUAUGGUAACUCAAAUCUCACUCUACCAAUUGGUGCAUGUGACAAUAAAUGUAACUUGAACUUGAACUUGAAUUGGCUUAGCUAUUAAAAAAAAAGAUACAAAAAGCUGGAGUAACAGCAGGUCAGGCAGCAUCAUUGGAAAAAGGAAUAGAUGACGUUUCAGGUCGAGACACCAAUGGUGCUUUAUUGUCACAUGCGCAAAUGCACAGCGAGAUUAUUUUGUUACAAACAGUCCAGUAGAAUAUUGCCACACCCAAGCACAUCCCAAUUAGCUACGUGAACAAGAAUAGUCUACUGAUCCCGCAUGCAUGCAGUAGAGAUCGAGGGUUUGUAAGUUGCAAUAGCCCACGUGAUAAGAUUCCGAGUCUGAGAAUGAUGAACGAGUAAUCUGGCUGCAUUUUAAUAUUUUAAAUUCUAAUAAAUGUUUCAGGAAACAUUGUUUUGAAAAAUAAAAUUGGAAACUGUGACCAUGCAACUUCUUGCUCUCUUGGUGUUUUUGAUGUUUCUUUAUUUUACAUGUCUUUUCCUACUAUUUCUUUUGAUUGUUAUUUUUGGUGUGUAUAAACUUUUUUGUCAAUGAUUAGUGAUGUGCAGCACUUUGUUGCAGCUAUGUUUGUUUUUAAAGUGCUCUAUAAAUAAAAUUAUUAUUAUUAUUAUUAUAGCCCAUCCCUUCUACUCCGCUGAGUUUGGAUAAGACUCAGUCCCAGGAUAUUAUAAUCAACCUGUAACAUGACUGGCAGGUAGUUUGUCAUUUUUUCUUCACAUUUUUCACCCACCAAAAUACGGUGCCCGCUAUAAAAGUGAAACUGAAUUUUAAUUUCUGGUGAGCACAAUACUAAUUGAUAAUAUUACUUUUACCUCAGCAUAUGAAGUUCAUUCUAAUUCAGGGCUAAACAAAGGGGAAGAAAAUAAAGGGAGAACUACCAAUAAUUUCAUCCAAAAUAACUUCUUAUUUUCAUAAUGGAGAGAAACGUCUUAUUUUCAAAAUGCUGGAGAAACUCAGCAGGUGAGGCAGCAUCUAUGGAGAUCAUAAUAUUCAUAAUUCUACAAUCAUUUAACUGUCAAACAAGCUUGUUCACUUACUUUCUAUGAAACUGGAACAUCUGAUAUAACUAACUUGCUAUGAACUACUAUACAGGCUCUGGAAUAAAGGCAGAACGGAAUUCAGUUUGUUCGAGAAAUGCUUAGAUAAACAAGUUAUUUCCCAUUGUUUUCAUGCUGGAAACUGUUCUGUUCCAACACAAACACUAAAUGAUAAAAAUGACCCCACAUUGGGUUACAUGACCAAAAAACAUUACUUAAUGCUCUUUUCACAUGGGAACAUCUGUGGCACACAAGGGAGAUUAAACACACACUGAAGCUAGUUCUCAUGUUUGGACAAGGCAGUUAUUUUGGUAGUGCAAUAUUUUAUUUCUAUAUUUGUCCCAAAAGUAUUAAAGCACACCACAUUAGUUAUGUUCAUCCUUUCCCUUUCAGCUCAAAGAAACAUUCCUUUGAACUGAAAGAGAGAAAGCAGCAAAGCAUCAUUUAGUAUAAGGUAGUUGACCGAAGAUUGUUUCAACCCAUUUUUAAUGCACUAAAACAAGGCCCCUUUAAGCACCUUAAUCACAAAACAGAAACAUCUAAAAUUCCGCAAUCCACCUAGAAAUGGCAUGGUUUACAUUCAGAAACGAGCUCUACAUUAAGAUCUGUUCCAGUCAAAACAGGACCUCAUCAUAUUUGUAUUGGCCUCAAUACUUUGAUAGCCCUUAAAGACACUAUGACUAUGAUAGCCUGACACCAUGGAGGGAAUGGUGAUAGUAUCUGCAAUCACUCAAAGAAUCAUGCAUACCUUGAUCAGAGAGGUUACACACUGGAUGAGAGGGUCCAUCCCCACCAUGAAAGCUCGGCAUGAGAUGACUGGUCAUCUCCAGAAUGAGUAUCCCAUGCAGUGAAGCAAUGCUAAAGUUCAAGAUUUCAUAAGAUACAUCCAAGUGAUCUGCACAACUCAGUACCUGGAGACCAGAAACCCCGAAAUAUAUAUUUUUAAAUGUAGAGGGCUUAGUUCUUCAAGAAAGGUACCACUCAUCAGCAAGCUAGUUACUCUGGUUACUCUCUCUUAGUACUGGUGUUGAUUGUACGUAUUAUAAUUGCGCUAAACUGCUGAGAUAAGUUCAUAAGUUAAUGUCAUAGGAGCAUAAUUAGGCCAUUGAGUCCAUCAAGUCAAUUCCGCCAUUCAAUCAUGGCUGAUCUAUCUGUUUUUCUCAACUCCAUUCGCCUGCCUUUUCCUUAUUCGGGAAUGUUGGUGCAAGAUUCCCAAAAAGUUAACUUGCAAGUCAAAUCAGUAGUUAAGAAAGCAAACGCAAUGCUGGCAUUGAUUUAGAGACGGCUUAUAUACAAAAAAAAAGGAUGUAAUGCUGAGGCUCUGUAAGGCGCUGGUCAGGCUGCAUUUGCAAUAUUGUGAGCAAAUUUUGUCACCAUAUCUGAGGAAGGAUAUGCUGGCUCUGGAACGGGUCCAGAGGAGGGUCCAGAAUGAUCCCAGAAAUUACUAGGUAAACAUAUGAACGUUUGUCAGCACUGGGUUUAUAUUCGCUGGAGUUUAGAAGAAUGAGGGACCUCAUUGAAAUGUACAGAAUAGUGAAAGGCUUGGAUAGAGUGGAUGUGGAGAGGAUCUUUCCACUACUGAAAGAAAGUCUUGGGUGAGAGGUCAUAGCCUCAGAUUUAAAGGACGUUCUUUUAGGAAGGAGAUGAGGAGGAAGUUCUUUAGUCAGAGGGCGGUGAAUCUGUGGAAUUCUUUGCCACAGAAAACUGUGGAGGCAAAGUCAGUGGAUAUAUUUAAGGCAGAGAUAGAUAUAUUCUUGAUUAGUAUGGGUGUCAGAGGUUAUGGGGGAGAAGGCAGGAGAAAGGGGUUAGGACGGAGAGAUAGAUCAGCCACGAAUGAAUGGUGGAGGAGACUUGAUGGGCCGAAUGACCUAAUUCUACACCUAUCACAUGAUCUAACCUUUGACACUUACUAAUCAAGAGUCUGUGAAUCUUGCCUUAAAAAUGUGAAGGAUAGCCAUUAAUCCGGAAAAUGUCUGGAAUUGCAAACCACUUUAGGGUGACUGCCAUGUUUCCAGGAAACUUGACUUUCCCUAUUAAGAAAUUCUUCUCAGACCCACAACAACCUGCAGGGUGAGGUAGUGGGAACCUUUCCUGUUCAUUAAAUAAAAUGUAAGAGGAACCCUUUCAAGUGCAUGAGAGCAGUCAGUGGGUAUCUACAUUGUUGGGAGCCAAUAAUGUUGCAAAUCCCAGUUACUUCCUCCUCAGUUAAUUC